CAUAAAUUAUUGAUCAAUAAUGGCCAAUUCAAUGUAUUUUAAAAUUUUUUAUUUUUACCUCCAAUUCAACCAAAUAACUUAGUAAGGGAUAAUAAUAAAAAAUUGAGGAAAACUUGAAAAUUCAGAAUAAUCAAUUGGGAAAGGCACCAGUUGUUUUGACAAAAGAUUAAGUGAAACAUUGUUCUCUUCAAUGGCGACGGGUGGUCCAGCAGUUCCAAUAGUAGUAUAAAUGGG
rnacentral:lncRNA from 1 species